CACCUACUUGCAGCUGCAGAAAGCAGUUGUUUUGGGAGGACACUGCUGUAUGUUAGACAACAAGCAGGCCUUUCCAGAAUGACUGCUUUUCGAGUCUGCCUGCGAGUGGU
rnacentral:pre_miRNA from 1 species